rnacentral:lncRNA from 1 species
GGGGCAGGAGUGUGCCUGAAAUGAAGCCCAAGAGCUGGAGCAUCAUAACCAAGGGGGAAAGUGGCAGAUGAGACGGGGCUGUGUGGUUCGCCUGGGAGGUGCUGAGCAGAGGCAUGAUGUGAUCUGACUUCUGUUUUGAAAGGAUUGCAGACGCUCUGGCUUCUCCGGAGAACUACGAGGAAGCAAGGGGCCGGGCUGGGUGGGUAUUUUAUGGUGAUGCACGUGAGAGACGGUGACGGCUUGGUCUAGGAUGGUAGCAGAGGACAUGGAGAGAGUGGACUCUAGACGGAGCAGGUCGAGCGAACUGCACGUGCGGUUAGAAAUGCCGCAUUUAGCCCUCGAAUCAAAAGCAAUUUCUAUAGAUAAACUUCAUUUCCCUUAAACUUUAGCUUGCACCUGCGUGUUGGAGAAUUGGCGGGAACAGUCAACGGAGCUUUUAAAAUUUUAAGUCGGAUUUUAUUAUGUUCAUAAUAUCCUCCUUUCCUGUCUUUAAAAAACUUCAAAACAUGAGAUAGCAUUUCAGUGAAAUGCGAUUGUAACCCUCUAAAAUAUUCCACUAUUAGCACAACCAAGGAGAAAACAAACAGAUGGAGCCAUCCCGAGCCCUGCAGCGACGCCCCUGCGGGACCCUGUGGCUCUCUGUUUGUUGUCUCUUCCCCGGCGACAGGGUGGGUUUGCUCCAGGGGGUCAGACUUCUUGGCACCAUCUUUGGGGAGGAGAAUGCAGUCUUGAUUAGGAACCAGCGUCCCAGGAGCCGGGAGGAGGGGGCUUGCGAGGUGCCAAGAUUCGCGCCUGGAGGGGGGUUUCCCCUUUGAGGAGUCUCUUUCUGACAGCUCGCGGAUGUGGCUGUCUCCCUGUUCGGUUUCUGGGCUGUGGCUGGUAGCAUCCUUGCCAAACUGGUCUGCAACCAUCUCCCUGGUCGCUUUCUCACCAGGGGUCUGGCAGGAGGCCGCCCCAGGCAGACCCACCGGGCUCCUUGCUGGCUUUGAUCGCAGUAGAAUUGGAAGACCCGACAGGUGCCAGUGCCCCCCGGGUGGCUGGUUGUGCAGUUAUGUCCCGGUUGGCGAGAUGAGCUGCGGUCUCUUGGUCCAAAGGCUGGGACAUCAUUUUGUCAGUUGUGCACAUACCUGAUUUUCUGCUCUAAUUUGUUGAUUUUCUCAUCCCUUUGAAAGUGCAUGUGGUUCUACAAGUUGACUGGGUGGGUCCUUUGAAGCACGAAAUCACAGCUGUUUCCUGUGCUGUUCCAGAUCUUAUUCUUCCUUUGAUGAAGCAGUUUAGGAACAAAACUUUCACUGGCCCCCAAGCGCCGGUGUUUGAGCCUGGCCGUGGAGCGAGGAUGCGGGGACUGUGGCGCCUGUCCGCCUCGGUCUGGUCAAAUGCGAAUCUGUGUUCUGGGCUGACGUUGAAUUUUCUUUUUCUCUCCCUUGAAGAGGGAUUCAAGAGGGCGGAGAACUUUGUGGCUUCGUGCUGAGACUCUCCUUUUGAUGAGUUUCUGUCAGAUUUGGCACAGGCAUCUUGCUGUUUCUUGGCUGUGGACCUAUCCUGUUUGGCGGCUGUGAUUCCAUUAACCUUUUGGCUCAGAAACUGAAGGGUGAAAAAGUCCUUCUGGAGGCCGGUAGCCAGUCAGUCGAAGGACAGCUUAACAGCUUAUAUUUCAGGGCCCAGCGUGGUGACAUUUCUGAAAGUCCUCUUCGUUUUCAAGAGCCUGACAGAUUGCCCAGUUUUCUGCUGUUGAUACGCACGUCGGUAAAGUCCACGAGCGUUCCGGACUUACUUUGGCGCCUGGGGUUUGCUUUUUGGUGGUGACAGGGUCGUGUAGCUCAGCAGCUAGAGCGAAUUCUGCCUCCCAGACAGAGUAGAGCUUCCCGGGAAGAUGUCCCGUGACCACAGCAGAUGGAUACGAUUUUCCAGCUGCUGGUGAUUCAUGAACCGGGAGCUCCCGGUGCUCUGUCUCCUGAAGUGGAUCAGGUCGUUAUGCCCCCGCCCUUUCAGUUGGAGUUUUUAGCUUCCCGUACCCUUUAGGUCUGUGUUUUCUUGGAGCUCAGUGUCCCAGGGGAAGGUACAAUGUUGGGUCUCAAGUCACGGGAGCUGGUUUCCUGCCUCCGUGUUCCCCAGAGAUCCUAGUCCCGGUUGCGGGGGCCCCUCCCUGGACUUGACUUUGGAGCAGGAAGGCUUGGAGUUGUGGAGUUCCUGACUUGGGCUUUCAGCUUUCCUUCGCUUUCUGUAUCACUUGGCAUCCCGCAGUCAGUGCUGGCGGGCCGCGGUCGGGAGGAGGGGGCCUCGUACCGCUUAGAGCAGCCGCACGCGCACAGGAUCCCCCCCCUCUGUUUCUCUGGAAGGGUCAGGGGUUGUCUGUGUGUGAGCACAGCUCUAGCUCUCUGAGAGGUUCCCCCGCCCUGGCCGAUGCACCUUCGUAGUUGGAAGGCUGAGUGACUUCAUCUCGGGGUGAACUUGUACUGUUUACCCACCUUCUGCAUCGCUCUCAUGGGCUCAUGAAUUUGUCAGUGGAAAGGUGUAGGUCCCGGGGCCCGAAGUGCACCAGCUCUUGGAAGGGCCAUCGGUAUUAGGAGAGGCCUGGUUUGAGAGUGUCAGCAGAGACGUGCUUGCAUCUUCACAGGGCUGGAGGAGGGGUGGCCUGGGUGCCUGCAAUGAGGAGGGGCACUCAGUGCCCUCCGGGAGCCAGAGUUUGAACAGAGUAAAGAAAAGGAGACCCUCAGGAGAAGCUGAGGACACGAGGCUUUGUGCUGGUGUCUGACCCCACUGGGUUCCACGGUGCACUGGGGAGCGUUGCAGGAAUGAGAAAGAUGAGGAGGCGUACAGGCCCAGCUGGGGAGCUGGAUGCUUCUGGGUCUCAGACUGACCCCCCCAAGUGGGCAGAUGCCAUCAGGACAUGGAGUCGUGCCUCCCGCGUGGAGCUAUUGUGAAGGACGCUGAGGAGAGCCAUGGGAGCGCAGGAAGGGGUGCAUCAGGCCGACGCAGCUGAACCCAGUCAUGAAAGGCGGAACAGCUUGGCGCUCAUGUUCCUGGGGGGAUGGGAAAAGAGGUUCACAGAACCACCGCUAUCUUGCUUCCCCCCAAAAACACUGAACUUCAACACACGUAGCCUCCAGAUGUAAUCAGUAGUUUACAGGAGAUACGCAGCUCGUGGGAACAGGAUAAAUGAUACCGGGAGGGUGUAUUCAGUUGAAUUCAGAAUGGGGGGGCUGUUAUAAAAAGGACAGGAGGUCUAAGACACCGGUAUCCCAGGACCGUGGCUUUCACUUGGACCCUGGUCAGAUCAAACCAAUGAUAAAAAGACGGCUUUGGGGGUUUCUCUGUAGACACAUAGGGAAAAUGUAAACUGGAGGUGCUGAGAUUGUUUCCUAGGUGUCACGGUGGUACUGUUUCAUUCUUCAGCAUUGUUGUCUCGGCGCGAGCGUGGGCUCAUGUCUUCAUGGGGGAGACAGAUGGGAUGCCUGCAAUGGCUCCAGACUGCUCCGUCCCUAAACCGACCCCUGAAGGAGAGUGGUGGGUGGAGGCAAGAGCAGCAGGAGGCUAAAGUCGAGGAAGCUGAGCGAUGGCUACUAGGGAUUCACUACACUGCUCUAUCUCUAGAACAGUCUCUCUGAGAAAGAGGGCAUGGGUUUUUUGUUUGUUUUUUUCAGUGAGUCAAAGUGUAUUAAGUACCUAAAACAGGGCUUGUCAUAUAGGAAUCCUAUAUUAUACACGUAUCUGUAUUUGUAUUUUACUUGUUACUCUUGAGUAACUUUGUUUCUCUGGGCCAUCAAGAUUUAAUCUUGUGGGCCAUUGAGGUUGGUCUGGGCAGAACGGCAGUGGCUUCUGGAAUUAACCUAGCUCGGGGUCCUUUGAAAGGCCUCUGGGUUCUGAAACUCAGAUUCUAUUCAUGGAAGCAGUUAGAGACCAAGUAUUGCUGUCCGAAGCUUUGGUUCCACCCCACCUGACCCUUGUUUUAAAAUAUGUCACCCUCUCUGUGACCUGUUCUAACUACUCUGUCUGGAUUUGCAGUCUGCUCCCUUACCUACGGCCCCAACACACCUUGAUACCUCUACUCUCCACGUCCUUCUGAAGCUCUUCGAGCUGACUAACUCCCAGGCACACUUUGUUUUAUUGCAUUUCACAGAUAGUGCAUUUUUUUUUAAUUGAAGGUUUGUAGCCAUCCUGUGCUGAGCAAGGCUGCAGCGCUUUUCUAGCAGCACCUGCUCACUUUGAGACUCUGUCACAUUUCCGUCACUCUUGCAAUAUUUCAAACCCUCUACCAGCAAAAAGAUGACACUUCCCGUAUGGCUCAGAUGAUGGGUAGCGUUUUUAGCAGUAAGGGAUUUUUUAAAAAUUAAGGCAUGUACAUUUUUGUCGACAUGAUGUGCCUGCACACCGAAUAGACUGCAGUGUAGUGUAAACCGAACUUUUCUGUGCCCUGGGAAGCCAGAAAGUCCCCGUGACCUGCUCUCUUGCGGCCCUCCCUGUAUCGUGGUUGUCUGGAACUGCGCCUCGGUGUGUCCGAGGUCUGCCUGGACGCGAGGCUGCAUUUUCUCCUCCACGCUGUGCGCCUUCCUCACCUCCCCGCCUCCGGCUAGAAUGUAAGCUCCACAGGGGCAGGGAUCUUUAUCUUUGUUCAGUGUUAUAGCCCAGGACCUAAAUUCUGUCUACAAUAUCGCAGAUGCUCCAUAAAUAUUGAAGUGGAGAAUAUGCUGUGUUUCUUAAAGACGAGAGGCUGUGACGUCGUGCUGAUGCACGUGCACACACAUGCACACACAUGCGCACACGCACCCCCUCCCACGAUGAUAAAAAUGAAGACCUGGAGCCAAUGGCAUUGAUGGGUGCCCUCCAGCCCUCCCUCGGUGACCGGUGGCAGCAAGCCCUGCAAAGUGACCAGCCUGUGCUGGCCCUGGAAGCUGGAGCAUUGCCCCUCCGUCUUCUGUCCGAGGACCCCUGGUAUCAGCACGGCUCGCCAGCAGUUUAAACUGGAUUGUUGCUUCGCCUUUGGCCAUGUGAGACCCUUUGACUGUUACCCGUUACCUGAAGUGCUCGGGCGGUGAUGGGCGGACUGACGGAGUAACUGCAUCCCGAAUCACCCAGAUAAAGGAGGCUCACAGCCACACAUGUUGCCGGCUCUUCCCAAAGAGGGACUGAAAGUCUUAGGGUGAAUUGGUCUGGGGAGGGGGAUGUGUGGGAAUCCCGUGAGAACUGUCGCAGCUUCCAUGUGUCUUUGGGGGUUUGUGGAGGGGUGAGCGCCCUGUGCUCGGCUCUCUGCUCCCUUGAGAGGCUGACGAACUCCCGCAGUGAAGCACCGUCGACGGCCUGAAGCGGUCGCCCAGCCCCAGGGGCAGGCGGAGCUGUCAGCGGGUCCUUGGUCUUGCCCAGCCUGGCCUGACUCAAUGGCCGCAGUACUGGGGGUGACGGAGGGAGCUGCCUCGGGGGCCGCGGGAGUGGAGAAGUCGCUUCCCUUGUGGGAAAGGCCCCCGUCCGUGGCUCAAGGGCAUUGGGUGCGGUGGUCUUCACGGUUCUUCUUGACGAUUCUGUUUCUUCAGAUGUAGUGCAGGUGACUUAACGGAAGGGAGUUGUGAAGAUGUACCCUCAGAAGGGAAAGGACCUUGGGAGGCCUGGGGUGGAGGAAGGGAUGAAGAACCAAGAAAGCACAUUCGAGGGCAAAUAACUGGCGCAGCGGACUAAGGAUGUGGCGUUGCUGUGGCCCAGCUCGCAGCCGAGGCUCAGGUUACAUCCCAGGCCCGGGGGCUUUCACGUGCCACGGGGGAAAGAAAUAAGUAAAUAAAUAACCACUGAUUGCUUUGGUUUUUGGUUUGUUUUUUAAAAAAGGAGCUCCUCUUGUGACUCAGUGGUAACGAACCUGCCUGAUAUCCAGGGGGGCGGUGGCUCGAUCCCUGGCCCCACUCAGUGGGCUGAGCAUCCAAAGGUGCCGUGAGCCGUGGUGUAAGUCCUAGACGCAGUUCGGAUCCGGCGUGGCUGUGGCUGUGGCUGUGGUGUAGGCCUGCAGCUGCAGCUCUGAUUCGACCCCUAGCCUGGGAACCAACAUAUGCUUCAGGUGUGGCCCUAAAAGAGGAAAAAAAGAAAAAAGAAAGAAAUUCUGGACUUCUCUUGCGGCAGAAUGGGUUAAGGGUCCACCGUUGUCACUGCAGUGGCCUCCGUUGCUGCUGUAGCAUGGGUUCAGUCCCUGGCCCAGGUGGCAAAAGAAAAGGAAGGAAGAAUGAAACUUCCAGGAGACCUGGAGAGUGCUAAACAAAGUGCUUUAGUUUUAUCAUGAUGACCAAAAACCUCUCCAAUUUCAUGGUCAAGUCUCAUGUUUUUCUCACGGUUGCUGCACGUUGUGCAUUAUCUGAUUUCUGGCUUUAUAUAAAGUUAAUACGGCAACUGACAAAAAAACGGAAGCAGGUCAAUGGUUUAGAAAAGGCCCAUCGGGGAGUUCCCGUCCUGGCUCAGCAGAAACAAAUCUGACUAGUGUCCAUGUAGAUGCAGGUUUGAUCUCUGGCCUCGCUCAGUGGGUCGAGAAUCCGGCAUUGCCUUGAGCUGUGUAGGUUGCAGACGUGGUGUUGCUGGGGCUGUAGCGUAGGCUGUCAGCUACAGCUCUGAUUCGACCCUUAGCUUGGGAACUUGGAUGUGUUGCACCUGUGGCCCUAAAAAGAAAAAAGGCCCUUUAGAGGCCAAGGGACCGGGUUAGAAUUACAUCUCUUAAAACUGUUCUUUAAAAAUACAGGAGUUCUCUUUGAGGCUCAGCUGUUUACAAACCCGACUAGGAUCCAUGAGAAUGUGGGUUUGACCCCUGGCCUUGCUCAGUGGGUUAAGGAUCCAGGGUGGGCAUAAGUUGUGGUGUAGGUCACAGAUGCGGCUUGGAUCUGGCGUUGCCGUGGCUGGCAGCUGUAGCUCCGAUUCAGCUCCUGACCUGGGAAUGUCCAUAUGCCUCAGGUGCAGCCAAGAGAAACUGCAAUAAAUGGGUUUAAGGUGCCAGUUGUUAAACUGGGCAGAUUUGCUUUUCACAUGUAUCAUCUCAUGAGGCAACUUUUGCUUAGCUUGACCCAUUUUGAUUUUGAUGGGGAUUCUGUUCGUUGUCCUUGCAAUAAUUUUUGCUUCUCUGGAGGCAGCUGUGCUCCUAAAUUCUAACCAUCAGCGUACCAUAAGCUGCAAGAAUGGACCAGAGGCUGUUGGCUGCACAGGAGGCCUAGGACCAGUCGAGUUCACGUCUUUACAUUCCCCUUAAAGGAUUAAAAUAAGGGAGUUCCCGUCAUAGCGCAGCGGAAAUGAAUCUGACUAGGAACCAUAUGUUGCUGGUUUGAUUCCUGGCCUCCCUCAGUGGGUUAAGGAUCCGGCAUUGCCAUGAGCUGUGGUGUAGGUUACAGAUGUGGCUCGGAUCCUGUGUUGCUGUGGCUCUGGCGUAGGCUGGCAGUUGUAGCUCCAAUUAGACCCCUAGACUGGGAACCUCUGUGUGCCACAGUGCGGCCCUACAGACAAAAGACCCCCAAAAAAGGGGGGAUUAAAAUGCACUGAUCCUGAUAGGAUAGCAGGUACAUGUUUGGUGGUUGAUGCUGAAAUUAAUGGUUUGAAGGAACCCUUGAAGAAAUAACUCCUCAAUAACAUUUUUAGGAGGUUAUAACUCAUUUAGUCAGGAGUUCUUUAAAAUUAUACACAUGCUUAAAAGAAUAUCAACCACACACACAUACACGAAUACUUCUAAAGAGCCUUAGACUGGAAGUCUGAUAUGUUAUUUUUGGGGGAGAGGGUGACUGUGGCAUGCAAAAGUUCCUGGGCCAGGGAUUGAACCCUUGCCCACGUGACCCUACUGGAUCCUCAAAUGCUAGGCCACCGGGAAAGUCCUAGAAAAUAGAUGGCAUGCGUGAAUGUGUAGUGUAUGCAACAGAGGAAUGGGCAAGGUUGUCCCCAGAAUCUGUCUCAAGCAGUCUUCUACAGGAGCGUUUUAAAAUUUCACAUCCAAGAAAUAACAGACGUUAUUUCUGAAGGUAAAGUGGCCAUUCCAGUUGACUUGACUACAGUGUAUGAAGGAAAAGAGGGUUUUUUCAAGAAGGAAUCAACAAGGAGUUCUCUCGUGCUGCAGGCAGUUAAGGAUCCAGCAGGGUCACUGCAGCAGCUCAGGUUGUUGCUAUGGCGAGGGGUUAGUCCCUGGCCUGGAAAUGUCCAUACGACGUGGAUGCAGCCAAUAAAUAAAAAAAAA